GGAAGGUCGACCGGUAGCGGAUGUCGGAUGGCACUGGAGAGGCUCACCCACUGGAGGGGUCCGACUGCUGGAGUCCGUGUGUCGUAGAGGUUCCUCCUGAAUCUGUCCGCUACAGAAGUUUGGUCGGAGUCCGGUUCCCGUAGAAGUCUGGAUGGGGCUCAUUUGUAGAGGAAGGUCGACCGAAGCCUGCCUGCAAUAGAAGUUCGGAGAAAAUUUAUUCACAAUAGAAGCUCGGGUGGAGGCUUACAGUA
rnacentral:lncRNA from 1 species